UCUCUCUCCUCCCACCUCUUCACACACACACACACACACACACACACCCCGGAGUCGUUCCCACUCCUUCCUCUCACGCGCGCUUACUAUCCACUUUCACUGGAGACCGACCGCAACGAGCUCUGUUUUAUUCCUUCUUUUUCUUUUGCUUGUCAGUCUUUGCUUUUGGUUAUGCCCUCAUGUAUGGAGGCACCAUCACCCCUACUUUGCGUGGCGCCCCUGAAAAAACGCAGGCCGUGGAUUGUCCCUGCGUUAGACUGAGUGCCACAGAUCUGCUUGUCUUUCCUGUUAACAGUUUUUUCUAUUCUUCUGCAGUGUUUUAUUUUUUUCAGAACUUGACUUCAGUUAAGAAACCCCUUUUUGAAAAUCUUAACUGUAUGCCGAAGCAGGAGCUAAGGGUUGAAGAAAAGGAAAAGAGUGUCCGAUGAAUGGACAGAUGAAGGGGACAGAGGCAAAGAAUGAGGGGAAAAUGGAGAGCAUGGUCUGCGGGAGAAAGCGAGAAAGACAGAGAAAGAGAGAGAGGUAGGAGAAAGAGUACCGGCACUAGCAAGAAAAACAGGAGGGGGAAGAGAAGAGAAGGGGGACCAGUAGGGGAUAGACUUAGGAAGGAGGGACGGCUGGUUAGGAAUUGGCAAAAUCGCGGGAAAAAGGAGAAAAAACAAAACUCCAGAAUGAGAAGAAACUGGACUUCUCGUUAGACUCAGUCUCGUGCUUCGUGGUCAUCUUUGAUUUUUAUUUUUUGACAUGAUUUUUCAUCACUUCUCCGGUCACACUCUCAUUCAUCUGCUGAGCCUCUGAGACAACCUGACAACUUUUUGACAGAAGAGUUUUCUCAGGAAUGUCCUGGUCAACCAGAGAAGCUUCCCAGUGAGGAGUGAGCCAUGGGAAAAAACGAAAACUACACCCCGGUUGUGAGGAUGUGAUCCGGUCCGUUUUGUGCAGACGUGUCAAGACGAAACAUUUCUUGUCGGACUGCAUCGGCAUUGAUAAAAAACAACGAACAGUUUCGGCUGCAUGAACUCAUCUGGAGAGAAUUCCCCAAACUUUCCAGACAUCAUGGAGAGCCAAGAAGAGACAACGCAGUGCUCUGGAGGGGGCAGUGCCUUUUGGCCGGCUUUGUGCGCUGAACACUUAACACGGUUCAAUAAAAAGACAGCCAAGGUUCAUGACCCCGAUGUAUGAUUCACACGGGAUUUUUAAUUGUGUUCACAGGCACUGAAAAUUACAACAUAAAAGACAUGUCGUCACGGGACUGUCAUUGAUGCUUAUUCAUGACCAGACAUUUUAAAGCUCCUCACAGCAACUGGAAAUAUUUAUUGUUAAGAAAAAGAUGUGCAUUUUCACAGGGCUCCAACUAACAAUUAUUUUUUAAUUUACUAAUCAUUCUCUCAAUUAAUAGAUUAAUCAUUUAAUGUUAGAAAAUAGUGAAAAAUCAUAAUUUGCUUGAGCUGAAAGUGACGUAUUCACAUUGCUUGUUUUGUACUAACAGUCCAAAACUCAAAUAUAUUCAGUUUACCAUCAGAUGAGAUGAAUAAAAGCUGAAAAUUGUCACAGAAAAUGUUGGAAAAAUAACCAUAAUUAUUAAUCAAAAAUAGUUGCAGAUUCAUUUUCUGUCAGUCGACUUAAUGAUUAAACACCUGGUUGUUGCAGCUCUACGUUUUCAUAGUUUUUAUGGAUGAGUGAUCUGCACUUUGUUUUGGAUGUUGUGUUUUUAUUAACUGAAAAUAUGACAAUAAAAUUCAAUA